GAUGAACGCUGGCGGCGUGUUUAACACAUGCAAGUCGAGCGAGAAGUUUUGAAAAGAUUCUUCGGAUGAAAUUUAAAAUGGAAAGCGGCGGACGGGUGAGUAACGCGUAGGCAACCUGCCCCAUACAAAGGGAUAGCAUUUGGAAACGAAUAUUAAUACCUUAUGAAACUUAACUAGUGCAUGCUAGGUAGGUCAAAGAUUUAUCGGUAUGGGAUGGGCCUGCGUCUGACUAGCUAGUUGGUGAGGUAACGGCUCACCAAGGCGACGAUCAGUAGCCGACCUGAGAGGGUGAACGGCCACAUUGGAACUGAGACACGGUCCAAACUCCUACGGGAGGCAGCAGUGGGGAAUAUUGCACAAUGGGGGAAACCCUGAUGCAGCAACGCCGCGUGAACGAUGAAGGCCUUUGGGUCGUAAAGUUCUGUUCUAGGUGAUGAAAACUGACAGUAACCUAGGAGAAAGCCCCGGCUAACUCCGUG
rnacentral:rRNA from 1 species